AGGGAAUCUUCCGCAAUGGACGAAAGUCUGACGGAGCAACGCCGCGUGAGUGAUGAAGGUCUUCGGAUCGUAAAACUCUGUUAUCAGGGAAGAACAAGUAUCGGAGUAACUGCCGGUACCUUGACGGUACCUGACCAGAAAGCCACGGCUAACUACGUGCCAGCAGCCGCGGUAAUACGUAGGUGGCAAGCGUUGUCCGGAAUUAUUGGGCGUAAAGGGCGCGCAGGCGGUUUCUUAAGUCUGAUGUGAAAUCUUGUGGCUCAACCACAAGCUGUCAUUGGAAACUGGGAGACUUGAGUGCAGAAGAGAAGAGCGGAAUUCCACGUGUAGCGGUGAAAUGCGUAGAGAUGUGGAGGAACACCAGUGGCGAAGGCGGCUCUUUGGUCUGCAACUGACGCUGAGGCGCGAAAGCGUGGGGAGCGAAC
rnacentral:rRNA from 1 species